rnacentral:rRNA from 1 species
UACGUAGGGGGCAAGCGUUGUCCGGAUUUACUGGGCGUAAAGGGCGUGUAGGCGGCCAACUAAGUCCGACGUGAAAUCCCCAGGCUUAACCUGGGAACUGCGUCGGAUACUGGAUGGCUUGAAUCCGGGAGAGGGAUGCGGAAUUCCAGGUGUAGCGGUGAAAUGCGUAGAUAUCUGGAGGAACACCGGUGGCGAAGGCGGCAUCCUGGACCGGCAUUGACGCUAAAGCGCGAAAGCCAGGGGAGCAAACGGG